rnacentral:tRNA from 1 species
GAGCUUAUAGUUUAAGAAGAACGAGGGUUUUGUAAACUCUAAGUGUAUAAAGCUGAGCUCU